CCCAUAGAAACAAGGGUAAGUUGACGUUUAUCCAUUCAGUGAAAUAAUUUUUUUUUAACUCACAAGUUGAAUUAAAUAACAUGAACUAAACUAGAUAAACGUCAUCUUGAUCUUGUCGCUAUGGAUUGAAUAAUGCCCUAGCAACAUCCAUCCGAAGAAAUAAACCUACUCGCCCUUCGGGCUCGUGGGUUAAACUUUCUUCUCAUAAAUAAACAUUCAUUCAACUUACUUGUUGUAUAAAUAACUAUUAGUUCCACACUCCAUUGAGCAAAUCAAAACAGAAAUGGAAAAUAUUCCGUUUUAUGGAAUUUCAACUGAUUUCAGUAAUCAUAAAUCCGAAAAGAUGUUUGAGGUUUGAAAUCAAAAUUAUUAAAAUUAGAUACAUUGCCAAAUAAAUCGUCUGAUUCAUUCUUCAUUAAAUCUUCAGAGAAUCUAAAUAUUCCAAUACAAAAUAUUGCUGCUUUCAGCGCGGAUAAUACGAAUGCUCAUUUCGGAGGAAAAGAUAGGCGUGGAGUGAAUAGGUAAUGUUUUUUUUUUUUUUAAUUAAAAGAGAUUUUGUCUGAAGACAUCAAAGGCAUCGGUUGUCCUGCGCACAUACUUCACAAUACUGCUUCCAGUGCCGCCGAUAUGAUGUCCAUUGAUGUGGAGUCUAUUGUUCUCAAAAUUUUCAAAUUUACCUACUAAGUCGAUGGCUUUAACUACUUCCAGCUGUCGAACGAUUGCUAAAGUUAUAUGUGCCAUUGAAAGAGUUUUUCCCAGAUGAUCAUACAGUGCAUAAUAAACAGAUGAUAAAUUAAUGACAUGUAGACAAACAAGACAUCAAACAAAAAAAUAAUAAUAAUAAAAAAAAAUCAUAAACCUA